rnacentral:rRNA from 1 species
UUAAGUGUCAGCAGGCAGAUUCAUUUUCUGCCACCGAAUACAUUAGCAUGGGAUAAUGGAAUAGGACCCUGUCCUCCUUUUUUCAGUUGGUUAAUUCAUGAGAGAGGAACAGGGUAAUGAUUAAUAGGGAUAGUUGGGGGCAUUAAUAUUUAAUUGUCAGAGGUGAAAUUCUUGGAUUUAUGAAAGAUUAACUUCUGCGAAAGCAUCUGCCAAGGAUGUUUUCAUUAAUCAAGAACGAAAGUUAGGGGAUCGAAGACGAUCAGAUACCGUCGUAGUCUUAACCAUAAACGAUGCCGACCAGCGAUUAGGAGACGUUGAAUACAAAACACCUCUAUAUAUAAUUCAGUAUAUGGCUAGCAAUGGCUGUAUAUUGUUUGUGUAUAGUUACGGUGAAUGACUCCCCCAGCAGCUUUGGUGAGA